UACGUAGGGUGCGAGCGUUACUCGGAAUUACUGGGCGUAAAGCGUGCGCAGGCGGUUCGUUAUGUCCGUUGUGAAAGCCCCGGGCUCAACCUGGGAAUGGUAAUGGAAACUGGCGGGCUAGAGUGUGGCAGAGGGGGGUGGAAUUCCGCGUGUAGCAGUGAAAUGCGUAGAGAUGCGGAGGAACACCGAUGGCGAAGGCAGCCCCCUGGGCUAGCACUGACGCUCAGGCACGAAAGCGUGGGGAGCAAACAGG
rnacentral:rRNA from 1 species